rnacentral:lncRNA from 10 species
UUAAUGACUUGCCGUGAAGGGUAUGAGCCAGCCUGUGGCCCCAAGGUCUCUGUCUGAAGAGGAGAACUAUCCUACAUGCCCUAGGUGAUGGUGAAGCAGCAGAUGUGGCCAGAAACAAACAAAAAUAUGAGGGUGUGACUUGUGCUAAAACCACCCAUGGGCCCUGAUAGGCUCACAAGCCUCAUAGGCAAAGGAUGGUUUAUAUUCCACUUCAUGCCUCUGAAACCUAAGUAGUACUCAGAACAAUGUUCAAUUAAAGUUUUGUGAAUAGUGAGGGGACUGGGAUUACUAGGUAUUCAUCUUGGUUCUCACAGCACAAGUCCCCUUGAGAUGAGAUGAGAACAGUUGGGGUUUAGAUAUGGCUGGGGACAUCCUAUAUGUCCUCAUUCUUCUAGGCUUAUUGACUGGGUUGGUACUAUUUUUAUGCUCCAUGGAAUUCAUUGCUCCCAUACAUAAAAAGAACAUUAUAUUAAUGCUAUCAUACCCUUAAAGAUGAGCAUUCAGCCAAUCAGAUAAUAGGUAGUUUCUUACAUUUUGCCCCAGUUUUUCAAGUCUCAUAGCAACCUAUCCAGUCCAAUUCCUGAUAAGUUGGGAUAUUUAAGACAUUAAAUCAAUACCCAGUAAACAUAGACAUUUACAAGCUCAAGAACAUAGUUUAAAUAUAUCUGAGCCCAGGUGACUUUUCAAGCUCACUCAUCUGAAGGGGCUUUCCUUUGCUGUGUCUGAAAGAUGUUAUCUUCCCAGCUCUACUCAGACAUCCAGCACUCAUUUCAAUCACCCCUCGUCUGAGAUGGAAGGGCUUAUGAAUAUGAUUAACAGUGGUGCAUGUCAUAAAGAAGUCCUUUAGUAGAUGGUCCACUAGAUAUUGCUGUGCCCUGAAAAGUUCUGUCAGUUUUUAGGAUUGGGUAACUGAUCAUGCUCAUUCUAAUUAGGGACAAUCCACUUUACACUCUAGCAGUCUGUAUCUCUUUCAGUCAGAAUUACAUGGUACUUGUUGUGAUCCAAACCACAAAUUCAUUUAGAAGGCACUUGUAACCAUCAUGGUGACAUCUUUGGUGUUUAUCAGCCUGCUGUUGGUGGCUGGUGAAGAGCGGCAGGGCAGGCUGAGACUGGAUGACUGUUGGGGUGCUUGUGGGUAUAGGAUUUUCUGAUUCCAUGAUAAUAGCUCACCUGCUUCUGAUGGCUCCAGUGUAAUCCACUUACUGAGUAUUUUCUAUGUGUCAAUCAUGGUGUCAGGCAUUUAGUGUAAAAACCCCAUCUAAUCAUUAUAAAAAUUCUAUCAAGAAGGUAAUAUUAUCCCCAUUUUACAGAAAAGUCAACUGAAAUUUCUAAAGGUUAAGUAAAUCAACCAACUUUAUGAAAGAUCAUGAAUAGAGAUGAGAUUUGAAGGUCCAUCUGUCUAAUUGCAAAGACAAUGCUCUCCACACAGCAUGUAUGUCUUACCUCUGAAAUAAAUACACAAUACUAAGAUUGUGUAAUUAGCUCCCAGAUCUCAGUUGUACUUCAUUUAAGUUUCAGAGCAUGAUGUAGUUUAUAAGAAAAUAUUGAACCCUCUACUAUGUAAAACUUUCUGUCCUAAGCACUCUGGAGGAUCUGGCACUGAGAUUAUUCAGAGAGAGCUUCAGAGGGGGAUGGGAUGUCUGCUCCUGGCCUUCAAGAACAGGUGGCUUUCUAUAGGCAGGGAUAAGGGAUUGGGGAUGGAUAGUGGUGCCAGGAGGGCAUUUUGGGUAGAGGAAAUGGGUUGAACAAAUACAUAGGGAAAAAAGAACUGCAUAGUGGAUUAGAGCUCCAGGGAAAAGGCACAUUUCAAUGGAAUGGAGAUUCUCUAGAGAAAGGUUAGGAAAUACGGUUGGAAGGGUCAAUUGAAAUUGAUUGUGGAGGGCACCAGUGCAAAGCUGAAGGUGGUAAGCUUAGUCUGGCAGGCAGACUAAGGGGCGGGGGGCAUGAAAGUUUUUGAGUAGGAGAACAAUUUGUCAAGACAAGAUUUCAGGAAAGAGAACCUUAACACCAAUGGGCACAGUGGGUUGCAACACCCAAGGCAGGGUCAGAAAGAGCAGUCAAGAGCCUAAAAUGGAGCUCCACACUGGAGAGCAUCCUGGCCAAGGGAAAACGUGACAUUAGAAACACAAAAAGCAAGGCUAGGGUCUCUCAGCUCAGGCUCUUCCCAGCUGUGUCACCUCAGGCAAAUUUCUCAAUGGCCCUCAGCUGCUUCUGCAACAUGUAAGUAACAUCUACACCACAGCAUUGUUUAUUGGUUCAUUCAAAGCAUUCAUCGAGUGUCCGCUAUGUGCCAGGUAUAAGGAAGACAAGAGGGGUCAAGGGUGUCUCCAAAAUAUUUGACCUGUGCAACAAGAAGAGGGGAUUUGCCUUUCCUGUGACACUUAAAUGAUAAACUGUGUGCAAAACUCCUGGCAUAGUGCUGGGCAUACAGUGGCUGCUCAUUAAGUGUAAUUCUUUUUGAAGCACUAAGGACCAAAUUUUGUUUGUAGCAAUGUGAUAGAAAUGAAGACAUUAAUAAGAGCUUUUGUAAACAGAGGGAGCAGGCAGGUCUAAAAUAUAUGAUUGUCUAGAAUAUAUAAGUUCUAUAAAGUUUCUAAAGUAACCUAUAUAAUACCAGGUAAUAAAUGGUUUAAAAGAACCCUUUCUACCCCCCUGAAAUACAAAGGAAGGAGCCUGUUGCAUGUCGGGGGACUUGUUAAUGGCAUCUAUGUGUGUCAGGACCUUAGCAGGAGAGAGA